UUGUGAGCCAAAGAAAAAAAAGAGGAAAUAGAAUGAUUCUCAGCCAUUAGAACCAGACCGUUCAACUCCAUGCAGGUUUAGACAUGUUUUGCAGACAUGAAGUCAUAUAGCUCAUUACACAUCAUAAACGGCAAAUUUCAACACGUCUGGAAUCAUUUUCACACGCACGUCUCAUCAAAUGAGAUCUGGGCCGCACCUCAAGAGACAUACGGCUGGCCUUUAUAAGAACUGGAGAACUUUAUAAUUGGACCCGUCUGAAAAUAACACGCAGUUUAGCUCUAUUCCAGGUAGAGAGAGCUUUACUGUCUGUAGAAGCAGGUAACAUGUUUGGAUUGUUUCCUUUGUGGUUGGAGUUGAAAGUGUGACCUAGAAAAACCUAUCACCACAUAUGCGCAGCUAAUUUAUUUAUAAUGAACAUAACCACAAAUUAACACAAAAGGUCUACAGGACUUCCUCAUAGCAUCAAACAGUGAAGUUUGAAGUGCAACUAUUUGAGGACUUACUGCAGGCAAACAAAAACCCGAUACCAUUCAA